UUCAAAUAGAUAAAUUAGAGUGUUUAGUAAAUUUAAAAAAAUAGAGUGGAUAACUAAUAUGAUAAGCAAGAGUCGGACAAUAUUCAGCAAUAUUACACCUCCAAGAAAGCACCUUAGCCUUUCAACCAGGGAAGCACCUCCUACUCAAUAUUUUAUCACCCCUAAGCCUUUCAACCAGGGAAGCACCUCCUUUAGCCCUUCCUGCAAGCUUCGAGGAUUAUAAUCCAGAUCCACCUUUGCCUUCUCGCAAGAAUAUGCCCACUGGUGUCUUAGAACAUUCACCGUCGGUGGACUGAUGAGAGGAAGCUUUCCUGUGAGUCGACAGAAAACAACCGAUAACCAGCUAUAAGCCUCAAUCACCCAUAAAGGAAUGUUAAAUCUCGGCUUUUUUGUUUCAGUAAUGAUGGCAGCUAUAUUGAAAACGCGCAUGAAUGAUGCAUUUUCUCCUGUAAGUAGAUAUCUUUCCCCUGGUCGACCUUUGUUCAUUGCUGCUAUAUGUCCUUCUACUACAUCAUCAACAUGACUGAAUGAAUAUUUAUCAUUUCCAUUGCCUAUGUAUCCAGGUAAACGGCCUUGAAAGCGCUCAAUCAGCAACUGAGCCACAAUAUUACCCGUACUAAGCUUGCCUGGACCAUAUAUGACACCGGGGUAAACCACCACUAUUGGCAACCCAUCGGCUGCAGAUUGCAAUGCAAUUUUAUCGGCGAUCACCUUGGAUCUCUCGUACUCCGAACAGAAAACCUUCUCGGGAUGUACUUGGGUCUCAUCUGCAAUGUAUCCAUCGGUCGGUCCAAGGGCAAAAAACGACGACGUGUAAAUAAUCUUCUGGAUUGUCUUCUUCUCUCUAGCUGCCUGCAACACGUUCUUCAAUCCCCCUACAUUAACGGAGAAGAAUUUAGAAGGAUCAGGCAGCCAGGGCUCUACGAGGGCGGCGGUGUGGAAGAUGACGAGACAACCAGAGAAGGCAUCCAAAAGAGAUCGGUAGUCGGUAACAUCACCGUAGGCAAGCUCGAAAUUCCCGUCGGUAGAGGACGAAGGGAGGACGGAGAGAUCGCUGGUGUGACGAACCAAGGCGCGGACAGAGUGGCCUUGUUCCAGCAGUGCGUGGCAGAGUCUCCCACCUAAGUAACCUGAAGCGCCAGUCACCAGUACUUUCAUAGUCACUACAAUUAAUAUGGCGAAUUUGUGGACUGUUUUGGUGGGGCUAGCUGGUUUUCUGUCAACCUACUCUGUGCUUCUCUUGCUCUCCUCUGAAAGUUCUGAAACACUCGCUGACCAUUUUCUUAUCUCCCG
rnacentral:misc_RNA from 1 species